rnacentral:rRNA from 1 species
AUUGAACGCUAGCGGGAUGCUUUACACAUGCAAGUCGAACGAGUGGCGGACGGGUGAGUAAUAUUUCGGAACGUGCCCAGUAGCGGGGGAUAACUACUCGAAAGAGUGGCUAAUACCGCCUACUAUUGGCGCGGCCGAUAGCGGAUUAGCUGAUUGGUGGGGUAAAGGCUCACCAAGGCAACGAUCCGGAGCUGGUUUGAGAGGACGAACAGCCACACUGGGACUGAGACACGGCCCAGACUCCUACGGGGUUCAGCAGUGGGGAAUUGUGGACAAUGGGGGAAACCCUGAUCCAGCCAUCCCGCGUGUAUGAGAAGGCCUUCGGGUUUUAAAGUACUUUUGGCAGAGAAGCGGUAUCUGCAGAAUAAGCACCGGCUAACUACGUGCCAGCAGCCGCGGUAAUUC